UCAGAACGAACGCUGGCGGCAGGCUUAACACAUGCAAGUCGAGCGCCCCGCAAGGGGAGCGGCAGACGGGUGAGUAACGCGUGGGAACGUACCCUUUGCUACGGAAUAACGCAGGGAAACUUGUGCUAAUACCGUAUGUGCCCUUCGGGGGAAAGAUUUAUCGGCAAGGGAUCGGCCCGCGUUGGAUUAGCUAGUUGGUGGGGUAAAGGCCUACCAAGGCGACGAUCCAUAGCUGGUCUGAGAGGAUGAUCAGCCACAUUGGGACUGAGACACGGCCCAAACUCCUACGGGAGGCAGCAGUGGGGAAUAUUGGACAAUGGGCGCAAGCCUGAUCCAGCCAUGCCGCGUGAGUGAUGAAGGCCCUAGGGUUGUAAAGCUCUUUCACCGGUGAAGAUAAUGACGGUAACCGAGAG
rnacentral:rRNA from 1 species